GUCUUCGAGUCGUUGAUUUCACACUGCCGAGAAAAGCCUCUAGAUAGAAAAUAGGUGCCCGUACCGCAAACCGACACAGGUAGUCAAGAUGAGAAUUCUAAGGUGAGCGAGCGAACUCUCGUUAAGGAACUCGGCAAAAUGACCCCGUAACUUCGGGAGAAGGGGUGCUCUUUAGGGUUAACGCCCAGAAGAGCCGCAGUGAAUAGGCCCAAGCGACUGUUUAUCAAAAACACAGGUCUCUGCUAAACCGUAAGGUGAUGUAUAGGGGCUGACGCCUGCCCGGUGCUGGAAGGUUAAGAGGAGUGGUUAGCUUCUGCGAAGCUACGAAUCGAAGCCCCAGUAAACGGCGGCCGUAACUAUAACGGUCCUAAGGUAGCGAAAUUCCUUGUCGGGUAAGUUCCGACCCG
rnacentral:rRNA from 1 species